rnacentral:rRNA from 1 species
AUUGAACGCUGGCGGCAGGCUUAACACAUGCAAGUCGAGCGGAGAUGAGGUGCUUGCACCUUAUCUUAGCGGCGGACGGGUGAGUAAUGCUUAGGAAUCUGCCUAUUAGUGGGGGACAACAUUCCGAAAGGAAUGCUAAUACCGCAUACGUCCUACGGGAGAAAGCAGGGGAUCUUCGGACCUUGCGCUAAUAGAUGAGCCUAGGUCGGAUUAGCUAGUUGGUGGGGUAAAGGCCUACCAAGGCGACGAUCUGUAGCGGGUCUGAGAGGAUGUUCGGCCAAACUGGGACUGAGACAGGGCCCAGACUCCUACGGGAGGCAGCAGUGGGGAAUAUUGGACAAUGGGCGGAAGCCUGAUCCAGCCAGGCCGCGUGUGUGAAUAAGGCCUUUUGGUUGUAAAGCACUUUAAGCGAGGAGGAGGCUACCUAGAUUAAUACUCUGGGAUAGUGGACGUUACUCGCAGAAUAAGCACCGGCUAACUCUGUGCCAGCCGCCGCCGUAAGAC